rnacentral:rRNA from 1 species
UGGGGAAUAUUGCACAAUGGACGGAAGUCUGAUGCAGCAACGCCGCGUGCGGGAUGACGGCCUUCGGGUUGUAAACCGCUUUUUCUCAUGACGAAGUUUUUUGACGGUAGUGGGGGAAGAAGCACCGGCUAACUACGUGCCAGCAGCCGCGGUGAUACGUAGGGUGCGAGCGUUGUCCGGAAUUAUUGGGCGUAAAGAGCUUGUAGGCGGUUUGUCGCGUCGAUAGUGCAAACUCAGUGCUUAACGCUGAGCCUGCUGUUGAUACGGGCAGACUAGAGGAAGGUAGGGGAGAAUGGAAUUCCCGGUGGAGCGGUGGAAUGCGCAGAUAUCGGGAGGAACACCGGUGGCGAAGGCGGUUCACUGGGCCUUUCCUGACGCUGAGAAGCGAAAGCGUGGGGAGCGAACAGG